rnacentral:rRNA from 1 species
AGAACGAACGCUGGCGGCAUGCCUAACACAUGCAAGUCGAACGCCUGUAGCAAUACAGGAGUGGCGCACGGGUGAGUAACGCGUGGGAACCUACCCUGGAGUGGGGGAUAACCGAGGGAAACUUCGGCUAAUACCUCAUACGACCUGAGGGUGAAAGAUUUAUCGCUCUAGGAGGGGCCCGCGUCGGAUUAGCUAGUUGGUGAGGUAACGGCCCACCAAGGCGAUGAUCCGUAGCUGGUCUGAGAGGAUGAUCAGCCACACUGGGACUGAGACACGGCCCAGACUCCUACGGGAGGCAGCAGUGGGGAAUAUUGGACAAUGGGGGCAACCCUGAUCCAGCAAUGCCGCGUGAGUGAUGAAGGCCUUAGGGUUGUAAAGCUCUUUCGGCGGGGACGAUGAUGACGGUACCCGCGAGAAGAAGCCCCGGCUAACUUCGUGCCAGCAGCCGC